rnacentral:rRNA from 1 species
UACUAGAGGAUAGCCCGAAGAAAUUUGGAUUAAUACUCUAUAGUAUCCAAGAAAGGCAUCUUUUUUAGAUUAAAGGUUACGGUAUGAGAUGAGUAUGCGUUCUAUUAGUUUGUAGGUGUGGUAACGGCACACCUAGACUACGAUAGAUAGGGGCCCUGAGAGGGGGACCCCCCACACUGGUACUGAGACACGGACCAGACUCCUACGGGAGGCAGCAGUAAGGAAUAUUGGUCAAUGGACGAAAGUCUGAACCAGCCAUGCCGCGUGCAGGAUGACGGCCCUAUGGGUUGUAAACUGCUUUUAUACAGGAAGAAAAACUUUCUCGUGAGAGAGCUUGACGGUACUGUAAGAAUAAGGAUCGG